GUGAGCACGUGGCAGGAGCCGGGGGAAUGUGGGGGGGGCAGGCGUUGGUCGGAGUUACUGGGCGUAAAGGGGGCGUAGGCGGCCAGCGCAAGUCAGUUGUGAAAUCUCCGGGCUUAACUCGGAACGGUCAACUGAGACUGCGCGGCUAGAGUGCAGAAGGGGCAACUGGAAGUCUCGGUGUAGCGGUGAAAUGCGUAGAUAUCGAGAGGAACACCUGCGGCGAAGGCGGGUUGCUGGGCUGACACUGACGCUGAUGCGCGAAAGCCAGGGGAGCGAACGGGAUUAGAUACCCGAGUAGUC
rnacentral:rRNA from 1 species